UUGACAAGGCGCAGGAGAAACAGAAGGAGAGCUACCGGAGGAAAAUCAAGAAAGGGACCAAGUGCUUCGACAUCCGGUCGAGUGACUUGGUUUGGAAGAAGGACGAAAUGAAGGCGAGACCUGGAAAAUCAUGCUUUUUCACUCCUAGCGGGGUUCACCAUAUGUUAAGCCAACAAUCUUCUCCAGUUGGAGCAGUCGGACGGUUGACCACUGAAAGCCCUGACGGCCUACACUUCGGUGAAGUCCAUGAGACAAAGACCAUUGACUGUCUGAGACACCCAUGAGGUAUACCAUCUACCAGAGCCAGUGAGUUCGGAUCAGUCUGAUGAUUCUCUGUGCUCGGAGGGGGAC